UUGAUCUUCCUGCUCCAUACCUCCAAGCACCUGAUGUGCUGCAGCACAGGUGAAUGUCCUUGCAGCUGCGUUUCACACGUCGGAGGAUUGCCCAGUGCAGGUGACAAGCAGUAACUGAGGAGGCAUGGUAGGAAACUGCACCUGCCUGGGCCUGCAGGGACUGUGUGCAUGGUGACAGAGGAGGAGGAGGUGGGUCUCCGUGCGAGUGGGGCAGCAGAAGGCUGCCAGCUGCCUUGGGCCUGAGGGUGAGGCAGUGAGCUGCUGAUGGCACGGCUUCACUCACCUGGGAGAUUGCCACAUGCACGGGGAGCCAGGGGCAAAACAAGGUGCAGCUGACAGGGGGCGGGAGAAACUCUGAUUGCAAGUUAGCAAAAAAUCUCCCGGCAGGUUUGGGCAUGUGGGGUCUUCUCUUUGAGGGCUGCUGCUUCACCAGAGAGGAGUGGUGAGUAGCACUUUGCUUGUGGAAGGAGCCCUGUCUUUUCCAUAAAAUGACAUUGUGCCACCACAGCUCUGUCUGCAGAAGUAUUUCAAAGCUAAAUGUUAAUGAGCAGAAGGCUCUGGUCCCUCAGCGAGGAAGUGCUGAUGUGGGAAUGGCAGCAAAGACUCUGCAAGGCACUGCUGUAACUCUGCACGUGGCAGAGAGAAGUCAGUACCACCGGGCUAGCAGGAGAGAUGCCUUUGUCUGAACAGAACGAGCAGAUGGAUGUGCAGGAAACCAGCCUGCUGGAAGAGCUGGCCAUUUGGAGAGCCAGCGUUGGAAGUGGCUGCUGCAAAGGAACCUGGAGGGAGAACCUCACUUAUAAAUAUUUAGAGGUGUGUGCUUUUGGUUCUUCGUGCACUGAAAUGACCUUAAUGGGCUGUGAUUCACCGUAAAUACAGAGGUGGUUUGUAAUGCAGCUCUCAAAACUGGAAGAUACAUGGUACCCUUGUACUUCCUAGCCAGUUCAGUCAGAGGAGUUGUUCUGAAAAUGUGUCCCUUUCCUAAAUAAUGUGUGUCUCUGGCUGGUAGUGUUUGUUUAGCACAUCAAACACUUUUCACCCUCUUUCUCAGUUCAUAAUAGGCCCCCAGUGAAUCCUUCUGAGGAGCAGAGCUAACUCAAAGACCAAACCAAGAGAGGCUUAUCCAGCUUCUGCUUUCUUCAAGGAGAAUGGGGUUGAUCCCACACAGCACCAUCUCUAACGGUUAUCGGGCAAUUAGGAGGGUGUCCUUCACAAGCAGAUGCAGACCUCCAGUCACCCAGCCCCUGCAGGUUUUACCCUGUAAUGCAGCAUCCAUCCAGCAGCUACAUCUCUCCAGCUCAGACCUCAGGGUGUCCUGUUGCAUCUCAGUGUUAUCGUUAUCAGUUUGAAAGAGGAGUGGAAAGUGGAAAUCAAGCUGAGAGGAGCUGUCCUACCUAUGACAGAAAGACAAGGAGACUGAUGCUGGCAAGGAGAGGAGAUCGGGGCUGAGAGCCGUGUGGCGAUGAAGAUGCAGAACGGCUGUGGUGCCAGGAGACGUAGGAGCAAAGUCCUAGCAAACCAGUGGUGGAACAAGAGCUUCGGUCAGCUUUUAAUGCCUGGAUCGUUUUGAUUCUGCAACCUCCACAAAUGCUUGCUCCUCCUGCAGCCGCGUUAGGGGACCUGGGAAUCCGUCCCGCUUGUUUUUGCCAAGGCUGUUGUUGUGGAUCUGCCAGGUUAAAUCCCCUGAGGGUUUUCUCCGCUCUGACUUUGUACUUAUCUAGUGGUCUUUGACCUGCCUUUAUCUUUUAGAAUCAGUACUCAACUGGCCCAGCCUGGUCCAGUCAAUGUGCCUUUAGAUGUCUGACCUUCAGAUCUGCUGCUGCAGGUGCUAUUUAUUCCACCGCCCCUUCCUUGCUGUUUGCUUUUGUUGUGCCUUUCACCUUGCAUUGCUUUGCCCUCACACUGCUGUGCCCUCUCCAUGUCAGAUCUUUCCUCCUCUGGCCUUCUGUUGCUAUCGACACCCACCAUAGGAGGAAUCUGGUCUCUUGGGUCAUUUGCAUGGGGGAAAAGCACGCACAACUGUCUCAGAGAUCAGUAAUAUCAGAUGCUAUGCAGUGAAAUUUGGGUCUUAGUGGAAAGGUGGCUUUUGUAACCCUGUCUGCGACCAGGAAGGUAUUUCUGUGAGCAGGGAGAAGCUCUGGAGGAAGAGCUGGAUCUCAAGCUGCUUCUUUGCUGAGGGGUGAAGCCUCUGCUUGGGGGCUCACCAAAUAAACAACUGACAGUGGGAGCGUGAAAUGCGGCUGGAGCAGCAUGGAGGCUCUCGGAUGAAGUCACUGACGGUCGUGCAUGCCACGAUUGCCUCCAGCCUGGCUUACUGCAGCGUGCUCGGUUUGGGAUGAAAGCUACUGCUUUAUCCUGUGCCACGGCAGGGCCGGCUGACGUGGCUGCCUAACAUCUGUGUGCUGUGCCCCGCGGUGCUGAGCCACAGCUCGCCUCCCGGGACACGUGGAAGAGCUGACAGCUGCAGAGUCUGCUACGGGGUGGGGAGCUGGCUGAGGGCACUGCCUCGUGUCCUCAUCCCAUGUAUAAUUGAUAGGGACUGAAAUGGUUUUUGUAUUUCUUUUCCUCAGCUCUCCCUAGUUGAAGACUCUUACUGGCAAGAAGGGGAGAGGCUGAGCAGGGAGGAACAUUUCCUUCAUUACAAUAAUAACCCUAUCAGGUGUUUUAUCCAGGUCCUGCAUAGCCCAAAGCCCUUCCAUUUUAAUGAUGUUUUGAAACAGAAAGCAGCCUUUAUGGCCUCUGAGGGAGAGAUGGAGAGAACGAGAACAGGCAGAAUCAGAGGCAGAGGAUGCCAAAGUCACUGUUUUCUAACUAACUGAAGAGUGAGAGGUAUUAAUCAGAGCUCUCAAAACACUGUUUGCAUUAAAAAUGUACUAGAGAAGAGUGACUUUUCAGCCACAGAGCUGACUGACCCUGGCUGUGUCAGGCUGUGUCACCUGGCUGAGCUCUGAUUGCCAAUGCAAACUGGGCUUAAGCUUUUCCCUCUUGUGUGGCUGGGCUUCUGGUGUCCUUGCCUCUUCCCUGCCCUCUGGUUAGACCGGAUGAACUUGGUACCUUUGAGACAUCUGCCUCUCCAUCAAAUCCAGCUAGUCAACAGGUUUGAAAGUUACCCAGAGUGGACUGAUGGGCUGACUACAGAAAACAUACUUGCUUAUGACUCAUUUCCUUUGGAAAUCAGGCUGAAAACGAAUAAACUUAAGACCUGAGUAAUGAUUCAGUGUAUUACUUGCUUGAGAAGGCCUGGGUUUGAAAUGUGCAGGAGCUUAAGCUGGUCCUCUAAUAAGAUAACUGCUCUUUAAUACAAGCUGUGGCAAAGUGCUUCAGGUUAAGUUCAUUCAGAUCGUUCCCAACCCUUCCAUAAACCAGAUCAGUGCAGUGUGCUGCUGGCAGUGGAAGGAGGAGGUAGGACAGUGUGUCUGAUUUGAAGAAUAUGGAGGGGAACCUCUACCCCAGGUAACACCCCAGGUAAGGAGCUUGUUUUCAGACCAGGAGCACGAGAAUCAUUGUAAUGGAUCAGGCCAAUGAUGCAGCUCCUUGUCUAGACUGUGCCUUUUCAAUUAAGCUAGAGGAUAUGAAGAUAUACUAAGAAUGACGUGAUGGCUAAAGAAUUUGUAGUGGGUUCUGCUGAGAGACGUAUCAGUUAGAGACCACUAGAAGAAUGCUGCAGGAAUUAAUUUCAGAAUUGAACUUGUCUAAUGCUUCUGUUAAUUGCCCUGAUGUAAAAGAAAGAGCACCUACUGACACUGUGAAGUUGGAAGGUAUCCUCAAAAAGGAUAAGGAUGGCAAUGUCAUAAAAAGAGCUACAUCACCUGGUGGACAGUGUUAAAUUCAUUUGGGAUGGAGAUCAGUAACACAAAACUUACAAUCAUACUCUUUGGGAUUUAAAGCAAGGAUUUCUGCUAGAAUUUGUGAGCUCAUGAGCUGGAAAUAGCCAAAGAGGAAAAGGAUCUGAAUAUGCUAGUUGGUCACAGGAUGACUGAGUCAUUUAUGUGACAUGGCCAUGGACAGGGAAAUUAAAAUCUCUGAGAAGUUUAUUCAUAAAUCCAAACCAGUUAGCAGUGGUUCUCAAGCAUGAAAAUGUAAUAUUUGCUUUACAGUUUUUAUCCUAUCUAAUAUAGCAGUGAAUGUGCUGAUUAGUUAUGUGUCUAAGCCUUCUUUUCUAACCUUAUUAGGGUCUUUAACUCCAUGAUACCUUCUGGCACUGCGCUCCAAGUUAAUCAGCCCUGGGUUUUAAAAAUUAUUUUGUAUUCAUCUACUAAUUUAAUUUACCCUCCACCCCAUAAGCAAAGCUCCUGAGCUGCCUCAGUUUGAGCUCCAUCACAGUUGUUAGAGAACAUACAAAGGAAAGUGAGCGUAUUUACUUUGUCCGUGCAGCAUAGGUAAGGAUCUUGUGCUGCUCUGGUUUCUUUGCAACAUGAAUGCACUACUGCAUCUUGAGCAAUUAAUCACUGCAAAUCAUUUAAGAGGCUAGUAAUCUAGGAUUUGAAUUAUGCUGGUAUUAAAACAUAUGGUGACUGAAGAGAGCGCUGAGGCUUUAUUUGCACCAUGCUGUCUGAGAAUCAUUCCUAGUGGCAUGGGGCAGGAGCUCUUUUUUUUUGUUUUGUUUUUUAGAAAUAUGAGUGGGGAAAAAAAGGUGCUAUUGCAGAGCAAUAGCGAGUGCUGAUUUACAACGAUCAUCCAGGAAUAACAGACUCCUUCCCUCAUGGUUCUGCUUUUGCAAGGUUAACUGAUGGCCUCCACAGGUAGCACCUGUUUGGGAGAGGCUACGGCUAUUGUGUGGAGCCCACCUGUUUUCUGAAAGAGUGGAAGAAAUGUAGGUCUUUGACCUUCCCCCCCCCUCUGGGAGCAGGAGUGGGGCAAAACAAUAUGAAUUCUCACAGCUUCUUCCCUGCAGUUGAUUGAAAGAUUGUUCUUUACAUCAUAAAGAUGCUGUUCAUAGGGGGUGAAUUGGUGGGUUAGAUGGUGACUGCAGGGAUGGCACUGCACGCUGGAGGUACAAGUUGGUUAGUCACAGCAGCCCAGGAAUAGCCAAAGGAAGUGCUAAGGGUCUCACAUAAAUUUUCAAGUCCCAGACACCUCCUCUGCUUUUAAUUUGCUUUCAGGAGUAAGUUUGUUCUCCCACACACCACACUGGGGAGUGUGCAGGACAAAGAUACACUAGUGCAUGUCUUCUAUUCUCCCUCCAUCUGCUUCAGGUAGCAGUAAACAAUUCUGCUGCCUGGAGUUGGGAGUGAAGUCUUUCGAGUUGGAAAAGAUCUAGGGUAAGCAGUAUCCAGCUGGGCUGACCUGAGAUCAGUCUAUGCAAGUUAGGCUGAGCCUCACAGAUCUGUAAGAUGGGCGGCGAAUCUCCACCGCUGCGUGAUGAGGUUCUACCAAGAGGGCCCCCAACGCUCCUGCUUUACAGAGCAAGGAGACUUGCAGCAAGGUAGAAACCUCACUUGAGUUUCCUCGAGUAUGAAACGAGCCAUUUAGUCCCUGAUGUUGCCGGGCCAGGCUAACACCAGAAGCAUGAAGACUGACAGCUGUAAUCAGGGCAUCAGAGGAGAUUUGGAAUCAAAAUUUGAGGAAAACGAGUUUGGUGGCUGCUUGCUGGCUGACCCAGCUGCUCCUUUCCAGCAGCUCCUAGGAAACCAGAUCGACGGCUAGAUUAGCGGAGUUUUGCUGCCUGCCACUCCGAUCUGAAAGGAGGUGCUGCUGCUGCUGAUGCAGAACAAUCUGCGUGACAGCCCCCUAAACUGGCAGCAAUGAGACGCAACAGCCAGUGCUCCCACUAAAGCGGGAUCGGGAAGACUGAGCAGUGGCUAGGGAAGUAUGUGCUUUGGUAAGGCAAAAGUUUUACCCGUCAAAAAUGGAUGUGCUAGAGAGGGUGUCACAGCACAGAUGGGUCCUAAGGAGAGCCAGGGAGGAGAAAAGGUCCAGCCUGAACUGAUAUACAACAGGUAAUAAAAUCAGCUCCGAUGAAUCAGAUGCACCGAGAUGCUGUGGGGCAGAGCCUGAGGACACGGGGGAUGAGAGGGCAAUGCUGGCAGAACAGACGGGGCCUGCAAAGGGCCACAACUCUGCCUGGGAGGUCAGAAAGUCUGCCACAGCUGCAGUGCAACUGGGGGAGCCAGCAGAGGAACUCGAGCAGAAAAGGCACUGAGUGCGUAAGCAGCCCCGGCUCCUGAGCUGAGAAACGCGAUGGGGGAACUGGGUUCACAGGACAAAGCCAAGGAGAAGCAGAUGGUGCUGUGCAGCCGAUGAGCCUCGGGGUGACGGCGUGUCAAGAAUUUUGGAGAGUGGGGAGAGCAGAGUGCAUUUUGAAGUAAAGAUCGUGACAUUAGCUAUUGCCUAUGGACAGUAACAGAUGAGCUCUGGCACAUCAAACUAUGACAGAUAAAAUCAUCGCUCCCAGCUGGCCCUUCUGCCAUGGGUUACUGCAGAGAGAAAACGUGACUGCGCCGAAUUCGCUCCACGAAUUGUCCUAGUAUGGUUUCCAGCACGGUCCUAAGCUCAGAAUGGCUGUAGCGAGAUGUGACCCCAGCUUACACGGCUGCCAAGUGGCCACCAAGGCAAGUAAGUGUACAAGAACGGGGCCAGCCACGGGGCCUUCCUGACACCUCCCAGCCUCACACAACUUGAGCGUGCCCCAGCUGAAGGUACCGCCAGCAAUUCCAGCCAGGCGCCCAGAAACCACACCAACUCUACAGUCGUGGUUAAAGAAAGAGGAGCAGUAACACUCUGAGCCACCACAAGAGGAUUUACCUGCAUUCAUCUAUCAAUGUCUUAUGUUUACUGUUUCCCAUCCAAGAUGCAGAGCAGGAAUGAACAAAAGGAGACCGAUUCCUGAGCAGCCGUGAGUAACAGCUUCCUGGUUAAUGAUGGUUCGCAGUGACUUCUUCAAAACAUUCUUAACCCUCAGUAUUAGUCACUGGCAUGGUUACCUGAGUAAGCUGAAAUCAAGACUAAUAAACAGUUGUCUUCCUUCUACAUCAGUUUCUUACCCAUGAAGUGAGAGAAGACAGAAGGAAAAAAAAAAAAGCCAGUAAAUUUCCUCAAAACCUCAUUAUGUAGUUCCUCCCUAUCUUAAUUGUUUCCUCAGUUUCAUACUCUGUCAUGCUAUUUUCUGUAAGGUGGCACGAUGUCAGGAAGAAACCAGGAUCUGGCAACGUUUAGACCUCCCCUUUUAUUUAUACCCUUUUAUUUUGCUGUUUCAUUCUUUACACCAAUCUCCUUUACUGGGUGUGCAAUAGAUCUAAAAUCCCAAUGUGAAAUCUUCUGAUGACCUUCCAUACUUGCAGCAUCAAUCCCACUUCUCACAGGACACUGAGGGGAAACCAGGGAUGCGCUGCCGAGUUGUUAGGCAGCUCUAGGAGAAAGGCUGGAGAAGCAGGGCUGGAGUCAGGUUAGAAACUUCUGGGUCUGAGCCCAAGUGAACAGGAGGAAGAGAAGGAUGCUCCACCUGCUGAACCAUGGAAAGGUGGCACAGCUCACAGGAAAAAAAAAAGAAAAAAGGUAACCAUGGGGCUCAUGGGUGUAUUUAGCAAUAGAUGGGGAACCAGC